rnacentral:rRNA from 1 species
UACGUAGGGUGCAAGCGUGGUCCGGAUUUAUUGGGCGUAAAGAGCUCGUAGGCGGUUUUUCGCGUCGGAUGUGAAAACCCAGGGCUCAACCCUGUGCCUGCAUUCGAUACGGGCAAACUAGAGUAUUGCAGGGGAGACUGGAAUUCCUGGUGUAGCGGUGAAAUGCGCAGAUAUCAGGAAGAACACCCGUGGCGAAGGCGGCUCUCUGGAACGCAACUGACGCUGAGACGCGAAAGCGUGGGGAGCAAACAGG